CCUACGGGAGGCAGCAGUAAGGAAUAUUGGUCAAUGGAGGCAACUCUGAACCAGCCAUGCCGCGUGCAGGAAGACUGCCCUAUGGGUUGUAAACUGCUUUUAUACGGGAAUAAACCUUGAUUCGUGAAUCGAGCUGAAUGUACCGUAAGAAUAAGGAUCGGCUAACUCCGUGCCAGCAGCCGCGGUAAUACGGAGGAUCCAAGCGUUAUCCGGAUUUAUUGGGUUUAAAGGGAGCGUAGGCGGCCUAUUAAGUCAGGGGUGAAAGACGGUGGCUCAACCAUCGCAGUGCCUUUGAUACUGGUAGGCUUGAAUGUAGUUGAGGUAGGCGGAAUGUGACAAGUAGCGGUGAAAUGCAUAGAUAUGUCACAGAACACCGAUUGCGAAGGCAGCUUACUAAGCUAUGAUUGACGCUGAGGCUCGAAAGCGUGGGGAUCAAACAGGAUUAGAUACCCUGGUAGUCCACGCCCUAAACGAUGAUAACUCGAUGUUGGCGAUAUACAGUCAGCGUCCAAGCGAAAGCGUUAAGUUAUCCACCUGGGGAGUACGCCCGCAAGGGUGAAACGUCAAAGGAAUUGACGGCUGAGACGNGCGAGGACGACGACGAGGGAGGAGG
rnacentral:rRNA from 1 species